GAAUAAGACAUGUAAAGACGUCAAACUCUGGCAAAUUCUCUUCAUCAUACUCGCGAUAAUCACCUGUCUUGUCGUUCUCGUUGUCAUCACAGGCUUUACAGUUGACCGCUGCAGAAGAAAUCCAAAAACUCGAACACCUUGUCCACCUCCAGACCCCGGUUUACAGCUGCAUCAGAACAACACCAGCGUUGUGUAUGCUGACGUGCAGUUCAUCAGAACAAAUGGCCGCAUCAGGACGACUGGCCUUAACAGCACAUACUCUCUUCUACAGCCCAUGAUCCAGAGUGACCCCAUGCAGAGGCGUGACGUCAGACCAUGAUGCUUAAUAUGAUGUCAUUAGACUGAAGUGAGCCGUGUUCCAAAUGAUGAAAAAUGUCUAAUCAGUGUUCUACAAUUUUCACUGCUUUUUCUUUUAUCAAGACUUUUUAUCUUGCUGGCCGAGCAGUUCCCACAAUGCACUGCAAG